GCGACUCUUCGGAGGCGUUACACAGGUGCUGCAUGGCCGUCGUCAGCUCGUGUCGUGAGAUGUUUGGUUAAGUCCAGCAACGAGCGCAACCCCUGUUGCCAGUUACCAGCACGUGAAGGUGGGGACUCUGGCGAGACUGCCCAGAUCAACUGGGAGGAAGGUGGGGACGACGUCAGGUCAGUAUGGCCCUUAUGCCCAGGGCUGCACACGUACUACAAUGCCCAGUACAGAGGGGGCCGAAGCCGCGAGGCGGAGGAAAUCCUAAAAACUGGGCCCAGUUCGGACUGUAGGCUGCAACCCGCCUACACGAAGCCGGAAUCGCUAGUAAUGGCGCAUCAGCUACGGCGCCGUGAAUACGUUCCCGGGUCUUGUACACACCGCCCGUCACAUCAUGGAAGCCGGUCGCACCCGAAGUAUCUGAAGCCAACCGCAAGGAGGCAGGGUCCUAAGGUGAGACUGGUAACUGGGAUGAAGUCGUAACAAGGUAGCCGUAGGGGAACCUGCGGC
rnacentral:rRNA from 1 species